GACGAACGCUGGCGGCGUGCCUAAUACAUGCAAGUAGAACGCACAGUUUAUACCGUAGCUUGCUACACCAUAGACUGUGAGUUGCGAACGGGUGAGUAACGCGUAGGUAACCUGCCUGGUAGCGGGGGAUAACUAUUGGAAACGAUAGCUAAUACCGCAUAAUAUUAAUUAUUGCAUGAUAAUUGAUUGAAAGAUGCAACUGCAUCACUACCAGAUGGACCUGCGUUGUAUUAGCUAGUAGGUGAGGUAACGGCUCACCUAGGCGACGAUACAUAGCCGACCGGAGAGGGUGAUCGGCCACACUGGGACUGAGACACGGCCCAGACUCCUAGGGGAGGCAGCAGUAGGGAAACUUCGGCAAUGGACGGAAGUCUGACCGAGCAACGCCGCGUGAGUGAAGAAGGUUUUCGGAUCGUAAAGCUCUGUUGUAAGAGAAGAACGGGUGUGAGAGUGGAAAGUUCACACUGUGACGGUAUCUUACCAGAAAGAGACGGCUAACUACGUG
rnacentral:rRNA from 1 species